UGUGACUCAAAAUCCGGCCCCAAAACGCCCCCCUCGUUCCUCACGCCCCGCACCUUUUUUCCCCCACCCCACUUCCGGGCCCCAAGCACCAAACCCGGACUCCACACCCGCAUCCAUCCCCCUGCCCCCUUCUCCCCCCCCAUCCUGAAACCCGAAUCUGAACCCGGGGAUGGAAUUGGGGUUCAGGACGUGGUGUGGAGCCCAGGAGCCAGAAUGCAGGGUUUGGGGCACGGGGCCCAGACUUCAGGUUGUAGGGCAGAGGAUCCAUCUGGACCUUGGGUUUGGAGACAGGUUUGAGGCUGAGGUGGGGGGGUUUGGGGCCGGAUGCAGGGAUUGGGGCUGAGGUGUGGGGCCGAUUGUGGGGAUUGGGGGCUACCAGGUUCUCAGCUGCCCCACACAUUCCAGCAGGAGGUGGAGGAUACAACUACAUCAUCCUGCAUGAGCAGCUUCCACAGCCUCACGGUGAUGUUCCGCAGGCAGGGACCGCUGCAGUAGUGCUGGGCUGCGAUCUCCUCCUUUUAUGGGAGUAUCCUGACCACAUUUAAGGAGUGGGAGCUGUAAGGGCAGCAUCUGCUCCUGGAGACUGCUUCCUUUGGAGGAUGGGGUGAGCCCUUGGAAUGGCGUGCGUAAUUCCUUCUUUAUUUCAGGGCUGUGAGCUUCACCCUUUUUUGGGGGGACCCCAAACUGGAUUAGAGCAGCUGUAUCUGCUGUUUGUCUUUACGAUGCCCUUUUUCCCUUCUAUAAGGGAGAUGAAGGGGUUCUCUCCCUUUGUCUGAUAUGAUGAUGGAAGGACUGAUAUACAGCUAUUUCUUUAACUGCUCCCUCACUUCUGGAAUGCUUCAAUCAGCUCCAGGAGAAUGCUGGUUGGCUGACCGAGCAUUGCCGUUGUGGGAAUGCCCAGAGCUCAUGUCCUUUUCCAUAAGGAGGUUCUUCAUUCUCCAGAUCUUAUUAGCAAAUCUUUUUAAGCUCACUACCUUCUGGUUCACAGCCUCUGUUCCUUCUUUCAUGGUUCUUGCAUCACAAUCUCCAACGUGAAGCUCCGAACUUGGUUUGUAUGCACCUCCAUCAUCCCAUUUCGUGAGCUUGGUUUGUCUGUAGUUAAGAGCGCCAUGCACUGAUUCCAACCAUGCAGAGUUAAGGGCUUUCUGUGCACCCUUAUCGUGUAAUAAAUCACGUUUUGAGUCU